AUACGACAAAGGCAAACCUAUCGCGAGGUAGGGACGCAAAGCCAUAGGGCCUCUUCAUUCAAGGAGGCAGCCUGGUUACCGAA
rnacentral:ncRNA from 1 species